UAAAAAUCCCAAUUUUUUUAGUCAAAAUGGUGUCACCAUAUUUAUGGCAAAUUACAUUACAAUAAGUUGCAAUUGGUGUUGCAUUUGCGAAAUGUAAAAUCAAACCAUCGUCUUUUAAUUUUUUUUGUUGAUGGGAAUGGUUUUGAUUUUGUCAGCAUCUAGCUAGCCAAUCAGCAAGUUCAGUUUCCAAUAGGUUCGAGCUUGAUCAAUUAGCUCAUGCACCAUGAAAGCCUCGUGCCUACACCCUGAAAGACGGUCACUACUCAUUUAUCCUCAGUUAUAUAAAUGCUUUUUCCAUUCUCAACAUUCCCAUGAAUCUCUUUUUUCAAAGGCUUUGGAUGUGUUGAUGUUAUUUGAAUCGAAUUGGAUUAAUUGGUCAAAUUAAGAAUUAAUUGGGAUAUUAGUUUAAAGAAUAGUAUUAGACUGAUUAAUUCAGGAAUCAGUACAGUCCGAUUGAGUCAAACUUUUUUAUAAUAUUUUUAAUGAUUUAUUUAAUCGAACUGGAUGGUUCGAUUGAAUUAAUAGAAUCAGUUAGAUCGAUAAACCAAUAACUUGAUCGAUUCGAUCACCAAUCCGAUUCUAAAAACCUUAUUCACUCCCAUAAUUUUUUAAUCCCAUGACAAUGUUUUAGAGCAAGAGUAUUAAGAAUCAUGAUCGAAUGAAGAUAUUUUCCUUUAAGAAUCUCGACUCACAAAGAUUUAGGGUUCAUUAGAUAGCACCAUGCAUAUUGCAAUUUUAAUUGCACAUAAAUUCAUAUGUUAAAGAAAUUAGGAAUAUGGAAUGGAACCCCUUUGUUGAUAUUUCGACUUAUUUAUUCUAUUUUAGAUUUGGAACUAUAUAUCCUAAAAGCAUGUAAGAGUAGUCAAUGAGAUCUUAGUCUAUUAGUAAAGGUUGAGAUUCUCGAGUUUUAAUAUUGCUUUAAGUUGAUAUGAGUUGUCUUUAAAUAUAUUCAAACUUAAAUCUCACUAUAUAUAUAUAUAAAUUCUCCCUAAAACUAUUAUAGUUUUACUUCGAAUAUGAGUUCAAUUAUGUAAAAGUAAAAAGUAUUAUGAACUCAAAAUUCGAAGUUCUUCAUAAAAAUAUCAAUUAUAAAUUAUCAAAACAUAGAUGCAAGGGAUAUUGUCUCAUCUUUUCCUUGUUUUUAUAUAACUAAGGUAUCUUUUAUAUUCAUUUUACUAUCCAUGAAGACUAAGUUUUUUGGAGAUCAAUGGUCGUCCCUCUCAAUAAUGUCAUUUACGAAAUUCGAACUUGAAUUCUCUCAUUAAAAAUACAAUGUACUUUGUCACUACACCUAAUACUUGUCAAUUCUCAUCACCAUUAUCAUGAUAAGAAGCUUAUAGUUUUCUAUUUCUACUAAUAAUUUAGCUUUGAUAAUUUUAUGUCCCACUCUUAUUAUUAUGAAAUCAUGUACCAUCACACAUUUUUAACAUUUCUUAUGAGGAUCAUUAGUCUAUAUCUUUUAGAAUAGGGAUAAUAUAAUUUUGGGAUUCUAAACUUGAUAAAUUAAGUCUACUUGAGUAAUUUAACUUGACAACUGCAUUCAUUUUUAUUCCUGCAUUUGAAAAUAUAAAAAAGUUUAAUGAUGUGACACUUUGAGAUUUGUCAUAUCAGUUGAAAAUUUAAUAUAAUUUAAUAUACAUAUUUUUAAAAUUAUUAAAUCGGUUCAACUACUGGUUUUUUGUCCAAAUUUUUAAUUUUAUCAAUUUUGAACAGUUCCUAGUUCAAUCGGUUCAACUCAUUUGUUUGGACCAAUAUACUGGACUGUUCUUUGUCUAAUCAGUCUACCUAAUCUGUAAUACCCCAUACCCGUACCUGAGAUCCGGGAUAGGAUACGAGGCAUUACCGAAAUUUUCAGAAUAAUUUCAAUUAAUUUAUAUUAUUUAAUAUUCAUUUUCAUGUUUCAUGUAACAUCCUUUUCAUAUAUUCAAUUCAAAAUAUCAUAUAAAAUACGAUACAAUACUUAAAUUUUCAUAUUUACAUGCUCAUUCAGGGUAUCCGAACCUACCUGACUAAAUUGCAGAAAUACCAAGAUUUAGGGGCAUAUUGGUAAUUUACCAUUUUCCCAAAUUUCACCCAAUCUUAAAUUGAUAAUUUCAUUCACUUUGUUAAUUUAGAUAAUAAAACAAUUUAUUCCCUUCAAUUUAGUCAUUUUUGACAUUUUUUACAAAAUUGCCCCCUAAAGUUUUACUUUUAUUCAAUUUAGUCCAUGAGCUUAAAACAUGCAAAUUAGCCAUGCUAACUGAAUAUUCAUAUAUAUUUUUUCCUCCUCCUCCUCCUCUCCAUUUCACAUCCUUAAUGUAUAUAACAUUCUUGUAAGUACGAUUUCACAAUUUACUUAUUAAUGCUCACAUCAAUCUGUUCACACGAGUCAUAGUCACUCAAUUAUUUAUAAUUCGAGCUACAGAGCUCAAAAUUAAGAUCCGUAAAUUUUCCCUAAAACUAGACUAACAUAUAAUUCCACCAUAAAAUUUUAAGAAUUUUUGGUUUAGCCAAUUAUUACAGUUUAUUCAUUUAAGUUUCCCCUAUUUCACUAUCCAACAGUUCUGACCUCUCUUCACUAAAAAUUAAUUAUAUCACAGUACAAAACUCAGAUAAUGUUCCCAUUGAUUUCUAUUGAAAAUAGACUCAUUAAGGAUUCUAAGCAUAUAAAUUUGAGACUCUAAUUAAUUUUAUCCAAUUUUUUGUUAUUUUCCAAAGUCAAAACAGGGGAACCCGAAUUCAUUCUAUUCUUGUCUCACAAAAUUCAUUAUAUCUCAUAAUUUACAAAUCCAUUGCUUACACCGUUUCUUCUAUGAAAAACUAGACUCAAUAAGAUUUAAUUUCAUAUUUUAUUCAUCUUUUAAUUCGAUUUAUAAAAUUUAUGGUGAUUUUUCAAAGUUAGUCUACUUCUGCUGUCCAAUAUUGUUUUAGUUCAAGAUGUUUAUUACCAUUUUUCCUCUAAAUUUCAAAGGUCAUACAAUUCAGUCCUUGCUCAAUUAGCCCAUCUAUUAAGCUAAUUUUUCUCAAUUAACAUUUUAUUCCAUCAUUCUAAACUAUUACACAAUCUUUGAAAAUCAGAAUUUUAACACUAAACCAUAAUUCACAACUUUUUCACAAUUAGGUCCUAAAAUCAAUUUCUAUUGAAAUUACUUGAUAAAAUCAUCAAACAACAAAAUCAAAGCUUCAAAUUCAUUUUAUUUCAUCAUAAACAGCAAACACUUAUCAAUGAUAGCUUUUAAUUUUGUUCAUAAAAUCAAAAACUAAUGAAUUAAACACUUGGACCUAAUUGUAAAAGUCACAAAAACAUAAAAAUCUCAAAGAAAAGGGUAAGAAUUGAACUCACAUAUGUCAAAGUAUGAA
rnacentral:lncRNA from 1 species